rnacentral:rRNA from 1 species
UGGAAAAGGAUGUGGGAUUUCGAAGACAGCUAGGAUGUUGGCUUAGAAGCAGCCACACAUUCAAAGAGUGCGUAAUAGCUCACUAGUCGAGAGGUCUUGCGCCGAAAAUGUCCGGGGCUAAAACACAACACCGAAGCUUAGGAAUGUAGCAAUACAUUGGUAGAGGAGCAUUUUUAUAGGCGUAGAAGCUGUACCGAUAAGGAGCAGUGGAGUAAUAAAAAGAGAGAAUGCCGGAAUGAGUAGCGAGAUGAAGGUGAGAAUCCUUCAGGCCGAAUAUCUAAGGUUUCCAGAGUAAAGCUGAUCUGCUCUGGGUAAGUCGGGACCUAAGGCAAGGUCGAAAGACGUAGUCGAUGGACAACAGGUUUAGAUUCCUGUACCGCUUAUUAUCAGAAAUGUGGGGACACAGAGACGUAUCCAAACCCAGGAAUGCAAAGACUGGGGCAAGCCAAGUACUGGUAUGGCAGGAAAACCCGCCAUGCAACAGGAAUAGGUGAUGCGGACCGAAAUUAAGUAGGGAAGUUGGAGAAGGAGCUGUCAAGAAAAGCCGCUAUUGUGUAAUAAGUGCCCGUACCGUAAACCGACACAGGUGGAUGAGGAGAGAAUCCUAAGGCCGGCGGGAGAAGCAUUGUUAAGGAACUCGGCAAAAUGACCCCGUAACUUCGGGAGAAGGGGUGCCAUCCUCCGGGAUGGCCACAGAAAAUAGGCUCAAGCAACUGUUUAGCAAAAACACAGGUCUAUGCGAAACCGAAAGGUGAGGUAUAUGGGCUGACGCCUGCCCGGUGCUGGAAGGUUAAGAGGAGAAGUCAGGCAACGAAGCUUUGAAUUGAAGCCCCAGUAAACGGCGGCCGUAACUAUAACGGUCCUAAGGUAGCGAAAUUCCUUGUCGGGUAAGUUCCGACCCGCACGAAAGGCGUAAUGAUUUGAGCGCUGUCUCAACAAUGCACCCGGUGAAAUUGAAGUACCAGUGAAGAUGCUGGUUACCUGCGCCAGGACGGAAAGACCCCAUGGAGCUUUACUCUAGUUUGAUACUGGGAUUCGAUUAUACCUGUACAGGAUAGGUGGGAGGCGAAGAAGCAAGGACGCCAGUCUUUGCAGAGCCGCUGUUGGGAUACCACCCUUGUAUGAUUGGAUUUCUAACCUGCGCCCGUGAUCCGGGUGGGGGACACUGUCAGAUGGGGAGUUUGACUGGGGCGGUCGCCUCCGAAAGGGUAUCGGAGGCGCUCAAAGGUUCCCUCAGAAUGGUCGGAAACCAUUCAAAGAGUGCAAAGGCAGAAGGGAGCUUGACUGCGACACCGACGGGUGGAGCAGGUACGAAAGUAGGACUUAGUGAUCCGGUGGUAUAAAGUGGGAUUGCCAUCGCUCAACGGAUAAAAGCUACCCUGGGGAUAACAGGCUUAUCACUCCCAAGAGUUCACAUCGACGGAGUGGUUUGGCACCUCGAUGUCGGCUCAUCGCAUCCUGGGGCUGAAGUCGGUCCCAAGGGUUGGGCUGUUCGCCCAUUAAAGCGGUACGCGAGCUGGGUUCAGAACGUCGUGAGACAGUUCGGUCCCUAUCCGGCGUGGGCGUAAGAUAUUUGAGAGGAGCUGUCCUUAGUACGAGAGGACCGGGAUGGACUGACCGCUGGUGCACCUGUUGGGGAGCAACCCCAUCGCAGGGUAGCCAAGUCGGGCCGGGAUAAACGCUGAAGGCAUCUAAGCGUGAAGCCCCCCUCAAGAUGAGAUAUCUCAUACGCAAGUAGUAAGACCCCUUGAAGACGACGAGGUAGAUAGGGCAGAGGUGUAAGUGUGGCAACAUACUUAGCUGACUGUUACUAAUCGGUCGAGGGUUUAACCA